ensembl:lncRNA
AAAACAGCACGAUGGAGCAAAAGGACAAGGGAUGGAAAGAAGGAGAUAAAGACAGAGGGAGAAGGGAAGCCUGAUUGGGGGCAGCCGCGGGCCAGCUUCCUGUCCCUCUUGCUGCCUUCUUCCCUCCGUCGUCCACUCUCUCCCCUCGUAGGGGAUGAAGAGAUUAAGAGGAAAUUACACCGAGUCCUUCUCUUCGACAAGGCAGGAGAAGUGGGGAGUCGGAACUUCAAACAACUUUUGAAAAGACGGGAUCAGAGGUCCUGGAAAAAAAGGGGCUGGACGAGGAAAAGACCGGCAGUCACGGAGGAAGAAAAAGACAAAAAAAACCCAAAAGAAGUCAUUUGGGAUUCGAGGUCACGGUAGAUGAAGGGAAGGGGACAGAGAAAGAAGUGAAUUAGAGAAGAAACUGAAUCUCUAUGUUGACCCCGGAAAGGAGGUUAUUGUGGUGACGGAAAAGUAUUUCCACGUAACUAAAGGCCACGAGACUGACACCGAGCUACGAGGGAGGGCUGCGUUUCUGCAGCAAACGAGCUCCUUCACGUAAUGAGCGAGAAGAGAAGGUGCCAAAAAAGAGGGUCGAGUGAGUGUAUUUCAGGUCAAUGUGAAGGCAACGAGGAAGCAAAAGGAAACCAAAUGACUUUGAUGAUUUCAUAGAAGAAAAUCCAUGAAAUCAAAGGCUGGCUUGCUACACGUUUGUGGCACUAUCGAGACGUGGAUGUGGUGGACAUCAGACCUUCAAAACCCAGCACGUGAACACCAAAGGCAGGAGUUCACGUUGGUUAUGAGAGCCUGAGCAGCGAUGGAAGUCACGUCAGUGGUGGAAUACGCGGAGGGAAAAGAUGGAGGGAGUUAGAGAGAAGGGUGUUUGUUUUGCCGCCAGUGGAGUAAAAAAGAGAUGGCACAAAACAAGUAAGACCAACAAGGACGGUGCUGAAAGAGGAAAAAAAUGAACCAAAGAUGAAUGCUGACAGGUAACCGAGGAGGAAAAGAAAUUAGAGUAGAAUGAGAAGGGAGAAAUAACCAAACGGGUUCGAGAGAUAAAACAACCACGGGACAGUGGGAGACGGAGUGAAUAAAAGAAAGGAAUGUCUUAUUCGUUGUCAGAUAACAAAGAGGGAGAGCACGAUCCCACAAUGGGCAGCAGUCAUCGCUCCAGAGGAGCCCUCAGUGUCCAGAUCUAACUUAAACAAAACAACAGGC